UACGAAGGGGGCUAGCGUUGUUCGGAUAUACUGGGCGUAAAGCGCACGUAGGCGGCGCCGUAAGUCAGGGGUGAAAUCCCGGAGCUCAACUCCGGAACUGCCCUUGAAACUGCAGUGCUAGAAUCUUGGAGAGGCGAGUGGAAUUCCGAGUGUAGAGGUGAAAUUCGUAGAUAUUCGGAAGAACACCAGUGGCGAAGGCGGCCUACUGGUCCGGCACUGACGCUGAGGUGCGAAAGCGUGGGGAGCAAACAGG
rnacentral:rRNA from 1 species